UACGGAGGAUGCAAGCGUUAUCCGGAAUUAUUGGGCGUAAAGCGUCCGUAGGUGGCCGUUCAAGUCUGCUGUCAAAGGCUGGGGCUUAACUCCAGACAGGCAGUGGAAACUGAACAGCUAGAGUGUGGUAGGGGUAGAGGGAAUUCCCGGUGUAGCGGUGAAAUGCGUAGAGAUCGGGAAGAACACCGGUGGCGAAAGCGCUCUGCUGGACCACAACUGACACUGAGGGCCGAAAGCUAGGGGAGCGAAUGGG
rnacentral:rRNA from 1 species